CCCACGCGCGGAGGCGCGCCCUGUCCCUCGGGCACGCGCGGCGGGCGCCCGGCCCUCGGCGUGUGCGAGGCGUGAGGUGGAGAUGGGGGCGGAGGGAGCCGGAGCUGUCACAGGCCCCGGGUCCGCCUGACUGAACCAAGUGGGGUGUCAUGGCCGCGGGGGGCGGCGGCGGCGGCGGCGGCGGCGGCCCGGGAGUUCAUCCUCGACGCGCGGGUCCCGUUUCUCUCUGUGCGGCGGCCGGCGGGACCAUAAGGGCUUAACUCAUAUAUUUAAUCCCCCUCCGAAAAGAUUUGAAACUAUUCUUGAAGGGCUGUUUGGACCUGCAUUAUUAAAAGAUCUCAG
rnacentral:lncRNA from 1 species